ACGUAGGUGGCAAGCGUUGUUCGGAAUUACUGGGCGUAAAGCGCGUGUAGGCGGUCGGGCAAGUCGGAUGUGAAAGCCCAGGGCUCAACCCUGGAAGUGCACUCGAUACUGCUCGGCUAGAGUCCCGGAGAGGAUGGUGGAACUCUCGGUGUAGAGGUGAAAUUCGUAGAUAUCGAGAAGAACACCGGUGGCGAAGGCGGCCAUCUGGACGGUGACUGACGCUGAGACGCGAAAGCGUGGGGAGCAAACAGGA
rnacentral:rRNA from 1 species